AGUGGCAGACGGGUGAGUAACACGUGGGAACGUACCCUUUGGUUCGGGACAACUCUGGGAAACUGGAGCUAAUACCGGAUACGCCCUUUUGGGGAAAGGUUUACUGCCGAAGGAUCGGCCCGCGUCUGAUUAGCUAGUUGGUGGGGUAACGGCCUACCAAGGCGACGAUCAGUAGCUGGUCUGAGAGGAUGAUCAGCCACACUGGGACUGAGACACGGCCCAGACUCCUACGGGAGGCAGCAGUGGGGAAUAUUGGACAAUGGGCGCAAGCCUGAUCCAGCCAUGCCGCGUGAGUGAUGAAGGCCUUAGGGUUGUAAAGCUCUUUUAUCCGGGACGAUAAUGACGGUACCGGAGGAAUAAGCCCCGGCUAACUUCGUGCCAGCAGCCGCGGUAAUACGAAGGGGGCUAGCGUUGCUCGGAAUCACUGGGCGUAAAGGGCGCGUAGGCGGCGUUUUAAGUCGGGGGUGAAAGCCUGUGGCUCAACCACAGAAUGGCCUUCGAUACUGGGACGCUUGAGUCUGGUAGAGGUUGGUGGAACUGCGAGUGUA
rnacentral:rRNA from 1 species